rnacentral:rRNA from 1 species
CGCGUAGGCGGCCGUUUAAGUCAGAUGUGAAAGCCCGGGCUCAACCCUGGAAGUGCAUUUGAUACUAUUCGGCUUGAGUAUGGGAGAGGGAAGUGGAAUUCCUGGUGUAGAGGUGAAAUUCGUAGAUAUCAGGAGGAACACCGGUGGCGAAGGCGACUUCCUGGACCAAUACUGACGCUGAGGCGCGAAGGCGUGGGGAGCAAACA